GCAGAAAAGGCUUAUUCGUGCCUUUCUGCCCGGCGGUCGGUAGAUUCAAUCUACCGAACUAACGCAUGAAUGACUGGACCACCUGGGAGCUGGAGUGUGUCGGCAAUUAACCUCCCAGAAGCUGCGGUUAACCGCAGCUUAAUUGACGAAUGCUGGGUGGCCACCAUUCGUAUACCGAACACGAGGUCGCGGCCAUUUUAAAC